rnacentral:tRNA from 1 species
GGGCCCGUGGGGUAGCUUGGUAUCCUUCUACCUCGGGGAGGUAGUAACCCGAGUUCAAAUCUCGGCGGGCCCA